rnacentral:rRNA from 1 species
CAAACGACUCUCGGCAACGGAUAUCUCGGCUCACGCAUCGAUGAAGAACGUAGCAAAAUGCGAUACUUGGUGUGAAUUGCAGAAUCCCGUGAACCAUCGAGUUUUUGAACGCAAGUUGCGCCCGAAGCCUUCCGGUCGAGGGCACGUCUGCCUGGGCGUCACAC